rnacentral:sRNA from 1 species
GUCCUCUGUAAAAACAAUUGGUGCUACCAAUGGCUGAGUCCCCCCUUCCAGCCCUCUAACAAUCAUUUAAAUAAAGAAAUUAAUCAGGGAUUGUAAGAUAGAUGGCUGGGAGGGUACAAGCACUUGUUGGUAUAAUCUUAACUGCAUCCCCAGAACCCAUGUGAAAAGCCAGAUGCAGUGGCAUGCAUGUGUAAUCCUGUCGCUCUUACAGCAAGAUGGGUGACAAUGACAAGGUAAUUGGUUGACCAUCUAACAUAGAAUAUGCAAAACAGCAACUGAAACAAUGAAAGACCCUGUUUUAACACUGUAGAAGCUGAGAACUGACUCUCCCACACUUUCUAAAAGAAGAAAUCAGUCUGGCUAACAACAGUUACCUUCCUUUAUCAAGGGUUUUCUGGAACACUCUGCUGAGUUAUCAGCAGGGCCUGGAGCACAGGAUUCAGAGGGAGCUUCUACCCAGCACUGGAUGCUUCGGAGGACAUUUAAAGGGUGGCCUCAGGGCAACAGACUCAGAGAGGACAGUUCCAUUUAGUACACAGACAUGAUAUUCAAUGUAAUACUUUUAAGGCAAGUGCAGAUAGGUUAAAAGAUCUUCUCCAAGGUCAGUACUUGGAUUUGGAUCAUCUGAUAUUAAAGUUCAGACUGUGACUGUGGCAAACAAGUGCUGCGUGAUGUAAUGAAAUUGACUUUCUUAUCUGUCAACUUCAUUUCCAAAUGACAUUGUAUUCUGCACCUCUAUAAGAAAAAAAGUAUGGGAUGAGAGUGGUUGCUAAGCAACCAAGGCACCAGGAUGUCCUGGUUGCAGGAUAAUCAGUUAGAAUCUGGCAAAGCUCCCAGGAUUGAGGACCAUGGAUAAUUAUUUAUCUGGCCUCUAAUAUCCUAUCAGGCUGCUUUGAAAUCUCUUCUCUCAUACUAAAAUCAUAAACAUUAUUUCAAAUUUAGCAUCAUCUAAAAUUUAAUUACAGUUUUUAAAGAUAACCUAAAUGUCUGUUAGCUACUGAUUUAAUCUGUUGACCAAAUCAGAGUAUCAUCCCUGGGAGAGUUUCUGGAUGAACCAUCAUUUUGUAAAAUGAUUUUUUUUUCUGAUUUCAAAAUAGGUACGCCUCAUGUGCAGAAGGUCACGUAUCUAAAUAAUUAAAUGCUCUAAAAUAUAAAUAAUUCAGAUUUGUUGAAGCAGUAGGCUCAAUAGAUACUAAUCAGUCUGUUAUUUCCAAGAAAGACAACAUAUCAGCAUCUUUUAUAAUAUACAGAAUGAAGGUUAAAAAACAGAACAAUACAAAACAAGAACAGUGUUCUGUAACAGAUGUACACACAGUGAAGGCACUAUGAGUGCAGCUUUGAAGCAGCUCUGAUAUGUGAGGACUGGGGAGGGUUUCUCUGGAUAGAACAGUGCUGCAGAAAGCCCACCUCUUUCUAAAAUGGAGUAGAGCUGUAUACCUCAAGACUAGUGAGGGGUUUCAGCUGGUCACCAGUUUGGCUAUGUCCCCUUUGCCUUGAAGAUCAUAGGAACAGAUGGAUUACAACUAAAACUCAACUGUGAGACAUUUUCAAAAGUGAGUCUCUAGCACACAGGGAGGUCACCUUUAUAAAGAAGCUGCCUGCGACAAGUAGUUUAAGAUACCAGAGACCAUUAGAAGGAAUAAUAGGAGGGGUGGGGCUUCCUAAACCCUUUGUUGAAGGCUCACAGGAAACAGUCUGGAAACACUGGGAAAGAGAGAGGCCAGAAGUGAUCAGCAUAGGAUACAUAAGAGCUUAAAGUGAGUCAUAAAGGUCAGGCUGGAAACUGAGCAUUUAUUUACACUCACAGCAGUCAGAAUAUUAUGUCUUCAAUGGGGUUCUUUACAGAAGAUAACGGAAUUGGAGUAGUUAGAAGGUAAGUGGGUGACAGCAACCACAGUCUUUUCCCACGAAGCCAUAUUUCUGGAUCAGGCCAACUUCCACAGAGACCUUGAGUGCUAACCACAUUCAGAGACCAGUCACAGUGGGCCACACACCAUUUUAAUGAGUAAAUGGAGUCUUUGGAAAACAGCGUAGCCAAGGGCCUUUUUAUUAUGGAGCUGUGUAGACGAUGCAUGGAACCCACACCACAAGUGAAGAACUCUAGAGGAGACUCUGUGGCAGUUUGGGGAGCGCGCCAAAUCUCCAGGCACCUGUUUCCUAAAGGGUUUGGAUACUUUUGAUGCGAAACAUUUCACCUUUAUGUUUACAGCAAGUCGGUGAGGAUGAAUGUAGCUGCCCGCACUCAUCCUGAAAACCUCAGGGGGUAAGGAGUCAGAUGAAGAGUUAAAAAUAACGGCAUCCAAAGGCUCUAAAAUAUUAAUGAGCUUUCAUCAACAUAGUGAAGUCUCAUUAAUUUGAGCUAACUGAGUGGAACGAACACAGUGUUUUCUCUGCAUCAGGAACUGAGGAAAAUACAAUUGCAGUAUUUGUCUGCCAGCCGGAGCCCUCGCUCAUGCUGCUGAGAAUGGAUCUAAGCUCUGUCCGAUUCUGCACUCUCCUGACUGUGCAAAUGCUGGGCAUGCCUGUGGUACACGUACACACAUCCAGUUUUCAGCAGACAUCAGUCAUUACACAAAGUCUAUCUGAUUAAAAUGCAGACAACAUGAUGAUCCACAUGACGGUCCACAGGCUAAAGACCAUGGAUUGGUGAUCUUGGAAGGUAGUGCACCUUUAAGGGCCUGGUGGUAAGUCCAGAGAAUUGUGAAACUCUUAUCUCACUGAUUCUUGAUCCCUGUUAUGAAUGGUUUGUUCUACCACACACUCCUCUACAUUGCUACCUAGUAUCCUCACCAGAAACAAUCACCUGCUUCUCUUGGGCAGCAGCCUUCAGAAUCAUAAGCCAAAAUAAAGCUCCCUUUGCUUAAUAAGCAGACUGUUCCAGCUAGUUCACUUCAGUGAUAACAGUUGAUGAACACAGAUCUAUUUUAUGACACUUUGCUCAUUUGGGGGAUGAGUAAGUCAUACGGUUGCUGUUGGAGCAGUCUACACGGCUCACAUGGUAGAUGCGAGCACAAGUUCCUGCUUUGAUUUUACUUUGUGAAUUUAUCUUUACCUGGUCUGAGACUGUGCUCUUUAGUCUCAUUACUCAUGGCAUCAGGAUUUAGAGACCAUAUCCCAAUACUCCCUCCUCUCACUCAAGGUCCAUAAAUCACUGAAAUCUGCUCUCAACUCUAAUCUUAUCAUUUUCUGUCAUCAUUUUAUACAACCCUGAACACUAAUCUUAAUAGGGAAUUUGUUAUUAACUAAUGUAUUAAUUAGGCCAUUCCUAUUACCCUCUUAUAAACUCACAUUCAUUCAGCAAAUAAAUGUCUUCUAGGCAUUGGGCAAACAUCUGAGACAAAUGUCAUGAGAAACCUUGUGUUAUAUUGUAUUAUGUUGUAUGUUUUCUGAUUUCCAAGUAGUACCAUUAUUAAUUAUAUACUAAGAAGAACUUCGAAGCAUAAUGCAUCCAUAUUGUCUGUUUUUGUAAGCUUAAAGUACUUCGUAUUAAUGUUCCAAUUAAUGUCCAGUUAAUAGCCAAACUUUUACAUGUGGGAAUUCACACUCAAAUGCUCUGGGCUCUGUAAUAAAUAGAAACUCUAUUGCACAUCUGCUUUUACCCCUGUGUGAACCUGAUUAAUCAAAGUGAGUCCCUGUUUUAUACUCAGAGAGAAUUGCUUCAGUUUAUUCCAAAGAGACCAGCAUAUCCAAGGAGAACAGUUUUCUGGAAGAGUAGUUCCAAAUCUUCACUCUGUAUUUGAGAGGUUGAGUUUAAUACUGGUAGCAUAGGAAACAUACUCAUAGAAGACCUAGUACACAUCAUAUCCUUUAAAGAGAUUGAUUUGAAUUUGCUUAGGAACUAUAAAAUAGCCUGUGAAUACUUUUACAGAAGCCAGACCAACACAACUGUGUAUCAGAAGAAUGACUGCCAAGCAUCUGGGAUUUUAUUUUCACUUAGUCCUUCAAAGAUGGUUCUACCUAUCAGUGAUUCAUCACUAAUACCCAAGGAAAAAGAACACAACAAUGAACACUGGAAACGCAGGAGUGUCUGAAUAGUAAAGCAGUCUCCGAAUAAAUUGCAGGGUGUCUUCAGGUGUUAGUCAAGAUGGAGCUUGUAUUCACGCCACUCUGCAUAUAAACAGGGUUCUUUGACGCCACGCUGCAGAAGGGUGCUCUAAUAACAUGUCUAUAGCUCUCUACAAAAUGAUGAAAGCCUUGUUCUUCUCAGGCCCUGCUGGCCAAUUUGAACAGGACAAACAAUUGAACAAUUGCCCAGCCUAAUAGCUGAGAGCCAUUCACUGGGGAAUUGGACUGAGAUGCUUAGAAAUUUGCAUUAGUCCAGAAUAACUCUCAUAAAUAGGAAUGAUUGGAAACAUGGUAAUAAGAAAAUACACUGGUGUUGUAGAGACUGGGGAGCACAGAGAGGUCUGUAGGGAAGUGCUGGAUGGGUGGAGAAAGGCAGAACGUGUUUUCACUCUUUAUGUGCAAUCUGCACACCUUGUCCUAAGAGUUCUAUAGGUCCCAAGCUACCUCAGCCCACUCCUACAGGCCCUUUACAGCGAGGCUUCACUUCUGAGAGCAAAUGAUGAUGCUAUAGCUUUGUGCAUGCCUGUAGAAAGAGCUCAGUUAAGGUGACCGAUAUGACAUCGGCACUGGUUUUCUGUAAGCAGUAGCAUUUGGAGGGGGCCUUGGGGACUGUGAAAUGAAUUAAGCCGGUGCUCACGUGCUCAGGAUGUAAAUAACAAACAGAUGCUUUCCUCCUGUGUGUACAGCUCUGGACAAAAUCAGGAGCCACAUGUGGCUCAGAGUGCUGUGAGCAGCUGGAGG